GGAAUAUUGCACAAUGGGCGCAAGCCUGAUGCAGCGACGCCGCGUGAGGGAUGAAGGCCUUCGGGUUGUAAACCUCUUUCAGUAGGGAAGAAGCUGGCUUUCGGGUUGGUGACGGUACCUGCAGAAGAAGCGCCGGCUAACUACGUGCCAGCAGCCGCGGUAAUACGUAGGGCGCAAGCGUUAUCCGGAAUUAUUGGGCGUAAAGAGCUCGUAGGCGGUUUGUCGCGUCUGCCGUGAAAGUCCGGGGCUUAACCCCGGAUCUGCGGUGGGUACGGGCAGACUAGAGUGCAGUAGGGGAGACUGGAAUUCCUGGUGUAGCGGUGAAAUGCGCAGAUAUCAGGAGGAACACCGAUGGCGAAGGCAGGUCUCUGGGCUGUAACUGACGCUGAGGAGCGAAAGCAUGGGGAGCGAACAGGAUUAGAUACCCGAG
rnacentral:rRNA from 1 species